rnacentral:lncRNA from 1 species
AAGUUCCUUACAUGUUUUGGAAAUUAACCCCUCACCAGAUACACAAGUGACAAAUAUUUUCUCUUUUUCCUCAUAGCCUGCCUUUAGCGAUUCUUAACAUAGUCCAUGGCCAUGACAACAUCAAAGAGUUGUGAGCCAAAUGUUCUUCGACAGGAAACUGGGAGCUCUGUGUUUUCAUUCAGCUUUGUGAACUAAGGAAUCCACAUGGAACAUUCACCAACUCCAACAAAAUGACAGCAUGCAGUUUGUCAGCUGUGCCCUGAGAUAGCCACAGAUUCCAGCAGAGGUCGGAAAGAGUCAUGGACGUUUGAUUCUGAAGACCUGUUACAAUUCGUCUGC